AGUCGAGCGAGACCUUCGGGUCUAGCGGCGGACGGGUGAGUAACGCGUGGGAACGUGCCCUUUGCUACGGAAUAGUCCCGGGAAACUGGGUUUAAUACCGUAUGUGCCCUUCGGGGGAAAGAUUUAUCGGCAAAGGAUCGGCCCGCGUUGGAUUAGGUAGUUGGUGGGGUAAUGGCCUACCAAGCCGACGAUCCAUAGCUGGUUUGAGAGGAUGAUCAGCCACACUGGGACUGAGACACGGCCCAGACUCCUACGGGAGGCAGCAGUGGGGAAUCUUAGACAAUGGGGGCAACCCUGAUCUAGCCAUGCCGCGUGAGUGAUGAAGGCCUUAGGGUUGUAAAGCUCUUUCAGCUGGGAAGAUAAUGACGGUACCAGCAGAAGAAGCCCCGGCUAACUCCGUGCCAGCAGCCGCGGUAAUACGGAGGGGGCUAGCGUUGUUCGGAAUUACUGGGCGUAAAGCGCACGUAGGCGGACUGGAAAGUUGGGGGUGAAAUCCCGGGGCUCAACCUCGGAACUGCCUUCAAAACUAUCAGUCUG
rnacentral:rRNA from 1 species